AUGUGCGGCAGAGUGAUCCUCGCGGACCUUAAGACGCCCAUGGUGCCUGGGAGGGUGAUCCAGACAACAUUGUGGCCCAAGAAGAGGAACCCCGAUUGUGGUGGCACUUCACGGGGCUCGACGGAUUUGGGGUCGGGCUCGGGGUGGAGGAUGAUUAUGUGGAUGUCGAGGAGUUCCAAGGUCGACAUUAGGGACUCUGACUUGGAUCUCAGGCGUGGCAGGGUGGCUAAGGAGGAUAUUGGCGCCAGGUCGUCGAGAUCAAUCCAUUGA
rnacentral:rRNA from 1 species